rnacentral:rRNA from 1 species
GGAGGAAAGCAGGGGAUCGCAAGACCUUGCGCUUUUGGAGUGGCCGAUGCCUGAUUAGCUAGUUGGUGGGGUAAGAGCCUACCAAGGCGACGAUCAGUAGUUGGUCUGAGAGGACGACCAGCCACACUGGGACUGAGACACGGCCCAGACUCCUACGGGAGGCAGCAGUGGGGAAUUUUGGACAAUGGGCGAAAGCCUGAUCCAGCAAUGCCGCGUGAGUGAAGAAGGCCUUCGGGUUGUAAAGCUCUUUCAGUCGAGAAGAAAAGGUUGCGACUAAUAAUCGCAACUUAUGACGGUAUCGACAGAAGAAGCACCGGCUAACUACGUGCCAGCAGCCGCGGUAAUACGUAGGGUGCGAGCGUUAAUCGGAAUUACUGGGCGUAAAGGGUGCGCAGGCGGCUCUGUAAGUCAGAUGUGAAAUCCCCGGGUUUAACCUGGGAAUUGCGUUUGAAACUACAAGGCUAGA